rnacentral:lncRNA from 1 species
CAAUAAAUAGUUGGGACAUAUUAUUUUUCUUGAUUUGGCGAGAGUAGUAUUUUGACCCCAAAAAUGUUAAGACAUACAAAAUUUGUGUACACAUACUAUUUUGACAAAAAAAAAUGUUGAAACAUACAAAAAUAGUUGAGACAUAGUAUUUUAUACAAAAAUGGUUGAGACACACAAGGUUGAGGCGGAAAAAAAUGGUUGAGACAUACUAAUUUGACAAAACAAUGUUGAGACAUGCAAAAAUGGUUGAAACAUACUAUUCCGACAAAAAUUGUUGAGACAUAAAAAAAUGGUUGAGACACAAACGGUUGAGACACACGAAAACUGGUUGAGACAUACUAUUUUGACAAAAAAUGUUGAGACAUACGAAAAUGAUCGAGACAUACUAUUUCAACAAAAACGGCUGAGACAUAUACUAUUUUGACAGAAAAAAAUUAAACAUACAAAAAAUGGUUGAGACAUACUAUUUCAAAAAAAUAGUUGAGACAUACAAAAAUGGUUGGGACACAUGGUUGUCAAGAUGUACAAAAAUGGUUGGGACACAUGGUUGUCAAGACACACAAAAAUGGUUGCGACAUAUUAUUUUGACAAAAAAUGUUGAGACAUAGGAAAAUAGUCGAGACAUACUAUUUCAACAAAAACGGUUGAGACAUACAAAAUUGGUUGAGACAUACUAUUUUGACAAAAAUUUGAAACAUAAAAAAAAAUGGUUGGGACACACAUGAUUGAGACAUACAAAAAUGGUUGAGACAUAUUAUUUCAAAAAAAUGGUUGGGACACACAUGGUUGUUGAGAUGGUUGCGACAUAUUAUUUUGACAAAAAAAAUGUUAAAACAUACAUAAAUAGUUGAGACAUAC